rnacentral:lncRNA from 1 species
CCUCUUCUCUCCCCCCACCCCACGACGCCAAGACUGCCGCCCCUCCCUCCUAUGUACGGUGUUAGGUGUUCUCUCCCCUUCACGAGAUUUCCUCUUCCAUGAUCUCUUGCACCGUAUGAUGGAUCAAGAAACUAGUUGCAAAAACGGAAUGAGAAGGAGGGGAGGAACAAGAGGAGUGGUGAAUUGGUGUUUCCCAUCAUCUUUAUUUUUGUUCUCCAUAAAACCCUAGGUGAGACUUCCCCACUGUUUUAAUGUUGUUUUUGGGUGUUUUGAGAGUUUUAAUUCGUGGUAGUUAGGGUUUAGGUAAGGAGGUUUUGUUGCUAUGAUUCGGAUUGGUAAUUCUACUCGCGGGCAGAUUUACAGGGGUUUAGUAUUUCAUCAAUUAGUAUAUCAAAACGGCUUUUUCUGGAAAAGUUUAUAACCAGGAAGUUGUAGAUAAUGUUUGGAUCUAUCUUCUCACCAAAGGGCGCGAUUUUAUCUCAAGUCGUUUAGGUGAUAUGAAUUUUUGAGUAUAACUGUUGUUUUUAUGUCAUAAUCUGGAUAGUAGUCGAUUAAACUGUUUUUAGAGGGGCUAAACAGAUGAAUUAGCUUUUGUAACUAUAAACGAAGUUGUUGGUAUUGCUUUAAUAUUUCCAUAUUGGUAAAGUACAUCUUUAUUGGAUUUUUGAAUCUUGAGAUAUAGAGUUUUUACUCUCUGCUGUCUGAAUUUCUAGACAGAUGAUAAACCCUGUUUUCAAGUAGGAAUUAGCCCCUUAAAAUGUCAGAAUUAAAAUAUUGUUUUCACAUACAGUUUGUAGGUCUUUGUCUGUAGAUCUUCAGAGUAUAUUUAUUUGUAUCCAUAAUCUUUGUAGUUUUACAGAUAUAAAAAUGUGAAGCAGCAGUGCUGUAGUUAGUUGAGAACGACUUUCGUUGUUUUGUACGUUUCUUGGGUUGUGGACUGCGGGUGUUUAUUUAUUGCAUUGUAUGAAUUUGGGAGUUUGUAUGCUAAGGUUAUAAUUAUGAAAAUAGGUUGUGGUGCUCCGGAUAAUGCUUGGUAUCGUCUCUUCGUUGUUCGAGGCAAGUAAACGUAGCGGUGGUUUGCUACAGCUUUGACUUGUUAUUUGAUUCUACCUCCACUUUGAAAUUAUAUAUCAUCAACCAAGAUAUUAUUAUAUGUUACACAGAGGAUUUACCUAUUUGAAUCAUACUCAUUGAUUUUACACUGUUUAUGGUUAUACUUUAUGCUCUUGGUUAUAAUAACCUUAUACUGAUCUGCAUCGAAGGAAUGUAGUUCCGAUGUUAUACUCUGGAAUUCAUACUGCAUUUGCAUCACUUGCAUUGCAUUUGAAGUUAUGUCGUGAACCUAUGGUUGCGACCGUACCGGUACAACAUCGUAUAUUGCCGUAAUAUGAUGCAGCUUCACACCGGUGUGAAGGCAGGAGUACAUAUCAUUGCAUUGCAUAUGCACAUAUUGCAAGAUGUUAUGAGAAUUAUCGAUCGAAGAUAUCUUUGAGAAGUGUUUUCUUCUCUGGGAUUUGUGAGUAUAUGGAUUUUAUUGGUGACGCUAUGAUGUUUUAGUCCUUGCAUAUUGAACUUGUCUUUAUGUGAAUCAUAUCUUGGUAUUUAAUUAGUUAUAUAAUAAACGUGUGGCUUAAAUAGCUUGUUAAAGCCGUUUGCUUGCUGAGAUUUAUUCUCACUCCCUUAUAGUCUUUUCAGGUACUUGUUGUGAUAUGUUUGCAUGAAGGGAUGGGAUUAGCUUCACUGUUGCACGAUAUGAUCUCACUUAGUCAUGAUUAUUGUAAUAUGUUGAUAAGAUUACUUGUGUUUAGAUAUAAUGGGUUAAUUAUUUAGUAGAGUUGUCGACCAUUGAUCAGCUACUUUUUCAAGGCUAUCCCUACAUGUCAGUUAGUUGUUGUAUCAUAACCUUAAUCUAUAUGUUGAUGCUUCCGUGAUGUUUUCUUGUCUAAGGUAGUUGUUGCCGAAAAUUGCUUGUUUCGGCACUUAUGUAUGGUUGUUUAGUGGCAUCCCAAGCUUAUGUGGUUUUCUGGGGUGUUACAUGGCUGGAGGAGGCAGCCCACGCGGCGCCGGUGUGUUAACGACCAAAUUUGGUAAGAUAUGAACCAGGUUCGGCAUUGGAAUCGAAGUGGAUUCAACAAAGAGUUAGAUUCGAAGAACAGAGUAUGCAUCGGCUGCGAAGGCAUCGGUUGGAGUCUGCACCGGCUGAGAUGGAUUGGACAGAGGACAGCCGAUACAGUCGAUAGAGCCAAUACAGCCGAUUCUGAUAAAUAUGGUUCUGAGAUUGUUUCCAUAAUCGAUCUGCGUGCUUCACAAGGAUUGCCACGAUAGAGAUAUGUUCUGAGAAGGGCAAUUGUACCUAUUAAUUAGGAUAUUUUAUGUAAUUUUCUUAGAGAUAUGUUUGGGCAAAAGUCUGCCGCAAAGACUUAUGGUAUCUUAGAGUUUGUUAAAGAUAAGAGUAGUGUCCGACAAGGACAUAUCAUGUAUCUCGGGUAUAAAUAUAACCCGAACCCAUAUAAUUUACAACAGCAUUUCAAUAACACUUUCG